UACGGAGGAUCCAAGCGUUAUCCGGAAUCAUUGGGUUUAAAGGGUCCGUAGGCGGCCUUAUAAGUCAGUGGUGAAAUCUCACGGCUCAACCGUGAAAUGGCCAUUGAUACUGUAGGGCUUGAACUAUUAGGAAGUAACUAGAAUAUGUAGUGUAGCGGUGAAAUGCUUAGAGAUUACAUGGAAUACCAAUUGCGAAGGCAGGUUACUACUAAUGGAUUGACGCUGAUGGACGAAAGCGUGGGUAGCGAACAGG
rnacentral:rRNA from 1 species